GCAGUAGCCGCGGUAAUACGUAGGGUGCGAGCGUUAAUCGGAAUUACUGGGCGUAAAGCGUGCGCAGGCGGUUGUGUAAGACAGGUGUGAAAUCCCCGGGCUUAACCUGGGAACUGCGCUUGUGACUGCACAGCUAGAGUAUGGCAGAGGGGGGUGGAAUUCCACGUGUAGCAGUGAAAUGCGUAGAGAUGUGGAGGAACACCGAUGGCGAAGGCAGCCCCCUGGGCCAAUACUGACGCUCAUGCACGAAAGCGUGGGGAGCAAACAGGAUUAGAUACCCCGGUAGUCCCUGUCUCUUAUAC
rnacentral:rRNA from 1 species